GUACACGCUGUGACUAGCAUAUCAAUAAGCGGAGGAAAAGAAACUAACAAGGAUUCCCCUAGUAACGGCGAGUGAAGCGGGAAGAGCUCAAAUUUGAAAUCUUAAAGGGUUUCCCUUUACGAAUUGUAGUUUAAAGAAGUGUUUUCUGUUGAGGUUUUGGUAAAAGUUCUUUGGAAUAAGGACAUCAUAGAGGGUGAGAAUCCCGUAUUUGACCUUUACUUUCAACUUUGUGAUACACUUUCAAAGAGUCGGAUUGUUUGGGAAUGCAGUCCAAAAUGGGUGGUAAAUUUCAUCUAAAGCUAAAUAUUGGCGAGAGACCGAUAGCGAACAAGUACCGUGAGGGAAAGAUGAAAAGAACUUUGAAAAGAGAGUUAAACAGUACGUGAAAUUGUCAAAAGGGAAGCGUUUGACACCAGUGUUGUUUUUCUGAAAAUCAAUUAAAGAACUGUUUAUGCUAAGUUGUUUAGACUUUAUCAGCCUAACUGUUUAGUUUUGAGCUUUUCUUUAAUGCACUUUUCAGUUAACAAGUCAACAUCAAUUUCUUUUGCUGUAAAAAAGCUUGAGGAAGGUGGCUUGAGAUUCGUCUUAAGUGUUUAUAGCCUCUUGCCUAUGCAGUCGGAGAGAUUGAGGUCUGCAGCGUAGAUCCUUCGGGGCUAAAUGCAUUUGUGCUAAGUUAUAGCAUUUUAUAGACAACUUGUUGACUAUGAUUUGUCUUGUAGCUUACUCGCUUAUGUUAUUUUACCUACGCUUAGGAUGUUGAAGAUGUAGCACAUCAU
rnacentral:rRNA from 1 species